UAAGAGCUGGAGCCAGAGCGUGGGUGUGGGCCCUCUUAAAACAAGGCCCACACUCGCCAUGACUGAUUCACAUGCGCGCUGCUCUCCACACACACACACCACAUCACCACUUUCACACUUCUCUCUCUCUCUCUCACACACUCUCUAAACGAAGCUCAAUGGAUAUCGACACUGUUUUUCGGACCAUCUGCUUGGUUCUGGUGGUUGGGACCCAUUUAAGUGGAACAAACGCGGAAAAAAGUUCCUCCUGUGCAAAUUCAGAGUUCUUUAACAGCGAUAUUGGUGGUUGUGUGCCUUGCCCUACAUGCAUACAGUACCCCAAAACCCCAGGAUGUAACACAUGCCCACCAGUCAAGCCUCAUGAUUCCUGGAGGGUAGCAGCCAUUACCAGUUUCUCCGUGCUGGCAGCUGUGGUUGUUUUCGGAGCCUUGCUCAUAGGAGUGCUAGUACAUCAAUGCAGGUCCAGAAGGACUUUAAGUGAGCCCAUCGAAGAAACCACAGGUCCACUUUAUCCAGUGUAGGCAACUCAUUAACAAAAGUGAACGGAUUAGAAGAAAUCAAAGUAUUAAGAAAGCUAUUGAUUCAGCUGGCGAUCUUUUGUGAACACAUUGACUACAGAGUGUACUAUGAGUAGCAUUUGACUCUUCUAAUUUAUUAUACUGGUAGGUCAGACAUAGUGGUGAUUAACACACUCCAGAAUAUGCAGUUGGCGUAGAGUCACCGUGAUCUCAGAAACCUCAGAGACUUUUGUCCUUCACUGUGUGAGCAGACUUAAGGUGCUUUUCAAGUAGACUCCUGUACAUCAGCAACGAUCCAGGUGCCUUACAACAGAGAAGUGGAGGGAAAGGUUUUUUAACUUCUAUUUUUUGAAAGGCAUUAUCUUUUUUUUUUUUAUGUUUAUUGUGAACACCCUUGUUUUUCUUGUAUCCAGUUUUGAGCAUUCAUGACCCUCUGUGCACUUACAAUGUUUAUGAAUGUUUUUUUUUUCUUCUUAUAAACCCAGUGAAAACUGCCUUAACCUUCCAGAACUGUAGUGUAGAAAAGGUUGUAUGCCACAAAAAAUAUUUUGUACAGUAACGGUUUACCUCCACAUUUGAUUUGAUUUGUUCUGGCCUAUUGAAUGUAAUGUGUAAUCAAUAUUUUGUAGAUAAAUUGUGUAUAUAUAUGUGUCCUAUGCACUGUUAGGAUGUAGUCAUUUUAAUACUCAGAACAUUAAGACAGACUGCCUUUAGUAGCCUUUCUAUGGUGUGACACAUAGGAUAAAUGGCAUCUGUGGAGAUACGUGUCUAAAUACAGGCACAUGACAAAAGAAACCCUGGUUGUUCUGUGGGGGCGUUUUGUUGACGUGGUUUGGAUUAAUUUCUUAGGAGUGGUCUUUGCCAGGAUGACAACGUCCCAUCCACAAGGCAUGAGGACUCACUGAAUAGAUUGAUGAGUAUGAAAAUGAUCUAAAUCAUAGAGCAGCCAUGGCAUAAAAGGUUGCUGGUUCGAUUCUCUGGACCGGCAGGAAAAUCCAUGGUUGAGCAAGACGCCCAAUUGCUCCCCAGGCUCGUUGUACCUCGCUCUGGAUAAGAGCGUCUGCUAAAUGCCUGUAAUGUAAAAAUCAUAUGCUAUGGCAUUUAGCCACUCAACCUAAUUAAACACCUGUGAGAGCAGAUAGCGUUCCUCAUCCCUCCAGUAUGAUUCCAAAAAGUUGUAAUGAUUUUUGUAGUGCCAGGGUGUGUGAUGGCCCAGAACCUUACUAAGAUUGUUAGUUUUUCCUUUAAUUUGUCACUCGUGCGUGUGUGUUCCUGAAAAGCUACUACAUAUGUGUACAUAUGCCAGUGAUUGACUAAGCUACAACCAGUAAACCCGAAUCCCCAGAAUGCAUAUUAAAACAUGGUCCAUUUGUUGUUACCAGUGCUGAUAUUACAGCAUGAUGCAUUAUAAUAGCUUCCAUACGGCAGAUCUUUCAGUCGUCAUAGCCAUCAUGAUCAGUCACUUAAACAUGCAGAAGUUGUUGACAAGUGUCCAAUCACCCAACAAGCCAGAAUACUGACCCACCCACCAACAGUCAGCCGUGGACAUACCAAACUUCUGACAGACACUGCUGAAAUACUAAGAAAGUCAUCAUAGUCUGUGUUUAUACUUCACAGGGCCCGUUGUGGAAUAACAAAGCUAGUGGUAAAUCCAAGAUGCGACAAUUAUGCAGUUUUAUAUUUCUAUUAGCUUCAUAUUUUUUGCUGGUUAUUGUUAUGGUAUUGGAUCAAAUUGAUAUUAAGGCCAGAGUUUGUCCCUUUAGAAAAGGUUUACCUGAUGUUGGACUGUAAAUCAGCCUAAGCAUUUAUAGGCAAUAAACAGACAACUGUUGCAUGUUCA